GACGUACGGGGCUAACGUUAUCCGGAAUUACUGGGCGUAAAGGGCGCGUAGGUGGUUUCUUAAGUCAGAAGUGAAAGGCUACGGCUCAACCGUAGUAGGCUUUUGAAACUGAGAAACUUGAGUGAAGGAGAGGAGAGUAGAAUUUCUAGUGUAGCGGUGAAAUGCGUAGAGAUUAGGAGGAAUACCAGUAGCGAAGGCGGCGUUCUGGACUGUAACUGACACUGAGGCGCGAAAGCGUGGGGAGCAAACAGG
rnacentral:rRNA from 1 species